UCUAGAAAUCCUGAAUUUCCCAAACUCAAAUCUCCUGGGUUCAGAUCGGAACCUAGCAUUUCAGCAAAGUUCCCAAAUCAGUCUUAGCUCCCAGACGGCCUUACAAUCUGGAAGCAGUGGCUUGGACAGUCAUUAGUUGCCCCGGGUGUCACCAGCCUUGAAUUCCCCUUGUGGUCCAUUCAACACUUUGAAUCUUCAAGACUUUUUGCCUGGGUCUCCUGAGUAGCUAAGAUUACAGGCCUGGGCCACUAGGCCCAGCUUCCAUU
rnacentral:lncRNA from 1 species